AUUGAACGCUGGCGGCAUGCUUUACACAUGCAAGUCGAACGGUAACAGGGAGCUUGCUCCGCUGACGAGUGGCGAACGGGUGAGUAAUGCGUCGGAACGUGCCGAGUAGUGGGGGAUAACGCAGCGAAAGUUGUGCUAAUACCGCAUACGUACUGAGGUAGAAAGUGGGGGACCUUCGGGCCUCACGCUAUUCGAGCGGCCGACGUCUGAUUAGCUAGUAGGUGAGGUAAAGGCUCACCUAGGCGACGAUCCGUAACUGGUCUGAGAGGAUGAUCAGUAACACUGGAACUGAGACACGGUCCAGACUCCUACGGGAGGCAGCAGUGGGGAAUAUUGGACAAUGGGCGAAAGCCUGAUCCAGCCAUGCCGCGUGUGUGAAGAAGGUCUUCGGAUUGUAAAGCACUUUAAGUUGGGAGGAAGGGUUGAAGAUUAAUACUCUGCAAUUUUGACGUUACCGACAGAAUAAGCACCGGCUAACUCUGUGCCAGCCGCCGCAGUAACAC
rnacentral:rRNA from 1 species